UAUAUAGAUAUGUGUAUUUUUUUAUAUUUGCUUUAAAUAUGUAUGUAUUAUCAUGAUUCUUUGAGAACGUUUUCAGUAUUGUACGGCAUAUGAAAUUAUAAAUAGAUAUCUAUGCCGAAUUCUAGCGCGAGUUACAGAGCCUCCAAAUUAGAUUUCAAAUUGCAUGAAUAUGUACGUGUAUGUAUGCGCGCGCGCGUGUGUUUGUCCAAUACUAUGUCUACUACAAGUCUAAAUUUUAUAUUGAGUAAUGUAAUAAUAAGUAAAAAUUAAUAGAAAACAUUCUGAUUUGCCAGGUUCUUCAUAAUUGUUUUUUUUUUUACUAUUUAUAUAAAAAAUAUGAACUGUACAGCUGUACAAAACGAGAAAAGAAGAAUGAAAAAAAAAAAAGAAGAAAAAGGAGUACCAUCCCUUGUGGGGAUCGAACCCACGACCUUUGGAUUAGAAGUCCAACGCGCUAUCCUCUGCGCCAAAGGGACUUGGUAGUCUUUCUUGAAAUAAAAAAUCGAGGAGUUCAGGAAUCACAGAGAGAAUAAAAGAUUGACAAAGAUUAUUUUGAGAAAUAUUUAUGGUCAUAUAUUGGUCGAUAAUUCUAAAUAUGGAAACAAUUGUGCGAUAUAAUGAAAAAAAAGUUACCAUGCAUGGACUACCCUAACAAUUAGGUCUCGUUGUCCCAAGUUUCUAAGCAAUAAUAGACUGAAUUUCCUACGGAUUCUGAAUUCAAUGAUGAACUACAGCGAACAAAUUAAAAAUAGAAAUUUUCAAGGCAUAUUCGAAUCGGAGCAAGAAUCUUCGUCCUUGGACGAUGUCACAAACACUUCGCGACAUUCGAAGAAGGCCGAGACCGGAACGAUCAAUUCCGUGGAUAUCCUAAGGGGUAUCGCGUGUUUAUCCGUUCACAGGAAGCAAAACUUUCGGCCGCACAAAUGCGGCCGCACGUGCGAUUUCGCAUAGGGGCGGUGCAGCGCCGCACGGGUGAGGGAGGGUGGCCGAGGGUGGAGUGAUAUCUCCGGAUGGAAGGGAGAUAUUCCCCCCCGUACCGCGGUCCCGCGCUUCCAGUCGGCACGAGGUGAGAGAAUGGAGGACAGCCAGGUGAUUCAGACGCGCGUGCCACCCCGCAGAAACUGACGACGUCCUCCAGCUCGCGGAAUCCGCCGCACUUAUUCUGAUCCUCGGUCCCGCGGGGCGCCGCACACAGUGCGAAUUUUUCGAGAAUCCCGCGGGAUAACUUCAGUCAUGAUCGGACAAUUGCAUUCUUGUGAAGUUAAUUAUACCGGAAGUUGAUUCGGGACACAGCGACGUCGAGUGAAAAUGAAUUUCGAUAAUAAUGAAAAGGAGCAAUAAGGAAUCAGGAAAUGGAAGAAAAGUGAAUUACAUAUGAGAGAUAAUCGGGUUUAUAAAACUUUCAAAAGGACUGGAAAAUUUGGUUUGUGAAACCGUGAAACUCCGCGUUCUAGAAAUUUAAAGUUCUGGUUCCCAUGAACGUCUUGGAAGCAUCAAGUCCUCGGAAUAUCGGUCAAACGUUUUCUAAGACCGAUGUGAAUCCGUUGACAUUUGGACGGAAGAGAUCCUGAAUCUUUUUUGGAAAAAAA